rnacentral:rRNA from 1 species
GAUGAACGCUAGCUACAGGCUUAACACAUGCAAGUCGCGGGGCAGCAUGGGGGUUGCUUGCAAUCCCCGAUGGCGACCGGCGCACGGGUGAGUAACGCGUAUCCAACCUGCCCUUCACCACGGGAUAACCCGGCGAAAGUCGGACUAAUACCGUAUGUUGUCCAUUGACGGCAUCCGAUUUGGACGAACGGUUUGGGGGUGAAGGAGGGGGAUGCGUCCGAUUUGCUGGACGGGGGGGGGACGGCCCACCGUGGGGACGAUCGGUAGGGGUUCGGGGAGGAAGGUCCCACACAAUGGAACUGAGACACGGUCCAGACUCCUACGGGAGGCAGCAGUGAGGAAUAUUGGUCAAUGGGCGUAAGCCUGAACCAGCCAAGUAGCGUGCAGGAUGACGGCCCUAUGGGUUGUAAACUGCUUUUAUGCGGGGAUAAAGUGGCCCACGUGUGGGUUUUUGCAGGUACCGCAUGAAUAAGGACCGGCUAAUUCCGUG